AUUGAACGCUGGCGGCAGGCCUAACACAUGCAAGUCGAGCGGAUGAAGGGAGCUUGCUCCUGGAUUCAGCGGCGGACGGGUGAGUAAUGCCUAGGAAUCUGCCUGGUAGUGGGGGAUAACGUCCGGAAACGGGCGCUAAUACCGCAUACGUCCUGAGGGAGAAAGUGGGGGAUCUUCGGACCUCACGCUAUCAGAUGAGCCUAGGUCGGAUUAGCUAGUUGGUGGGGUAAAGGCCUACCAAGGCGACGAUCCGUAACUGGUCUGAGAGGAUGAUCAGUCACCCUGGAACUGAGACACGGUCCAGACUCCUACGGGAGGCAGCAGUGGGGAAUAUUGGACAAUGGGCGAAAGCCUGAUCCGGCUAUGCCGCGUGUGUGAAGAAGGUCUUCGGAUUGUAAAGCACUUUAAGUUGGGAGGAAGGGCAGUAAGUUAAUACCUUGCUGUUUUGACGUUACCAACAGAAUAAGCACCGGCUAACUUCGU
rnacentral:rRNA from 1 species